rnacentral:rRNA from 1 species
AGAGUUUGAUCCUGGCUCAGGAUGAACGCUAGCUACAGGCUUAACACAUGCAAGUCGAGGGGCAGCGGGAUUGAAGCUUGCUUCAAUUGCCGGCGACCGGCGCACGGGUGAGUAACGCGUAUCCAACCUUCCGUACACUCAGGGAUAGCCUUUCGAAAGAAAGAUUAAUACCUGAUGGUAUGAUGAGAUUGCAUGAUAUCAUCAUUAAAGAUUUAUCGGUGUACGAUGGGGAUGCGUUCCAUUAGGUAGUAGGCGGGGUAACGGCCCACCUAGCCAACGAUGGAUAGGGGUUCUGAGAGGAAGGUCCCCCACAUUGGAACUGAGACACGGUCCAAACUCCUACGGGAGGCAGCAGUGAGGAAUAUUGGUCAAUGGACGAGAGUCUGAACCAGCCAAGUAGCGUGAAGGAUGAAGGUCCUACGGAUUGUAAACUUCUUUUAUAAGGGAAUAAACCCUCCCACGUGUGGGAGCUUGUAUGUACCUUAUGAAUAAGCAUCGGCUAACUCCGUGCCAGCAGCCGCGGUAAUACGGAGGAUGCGAGCGUUAUCCGGAUUUAUUGGGUUUAAAGGGAGCGCAGACGGGUCGUUAAGUCAGCUGUGAAAGUUUGGGGCUCAACCUUAAAAUUGCAGUUGAUACUGGCGUCCUUGAGUGCGGUUGAGGUGUGCGGAAUUCGUGGUGUAGCGGUGAAAUGCUUAGAUAUCACGAAGAACUCCGAUUGCGAAGGCAGCACACUAAUCCGUAACUGACGUUCAUGCUCGAAAGUGUGGGUAUCAAACAGGAUUAGAUACCCUGGUAGUCCACACGGUAAACGAUGGAUACUCGCUGUUGGCGAUAUACGGUCAGCGGCUUAGCGAAAGCGUUAAGUAUCCCACCUGGGGAGUACGCCGGCAACGGUGAAACUCAAAGGAAUUGACGGGGGCCCGCACAAGCGGAGGAACAUGUG